rnacentral:piRNA from 1 species
UGAGAAAUUACAUUCAAAUACAACACUCCC